UACGGGGGGGGCAAGCGUUGUUCGGAAUUACUGGGCGUAAAGGGCUCGUAGGCGGCCCACUAAGUCCGACGUGAAAUCCCCAGGCUUAACUUGGGAACUGCGUCGGAUACUGGUGGGCUUGAAUCCGGGAGAGGGAUGCGGAAUUCCAGGUGUAGCGGUGAAAUGCGUAGAUAUCGGAAGGAACACCUGUGGCGAAAGCGGCUCACUGGACCAUAACUGACGCUGAGGCACGAAAGCUAGGGGAGCAAACAGG
rnacentral:rRNA from 1 species